rnacentral:lncRNA from 1 species
AUGCCUUAUGCGUUGGGUGUGACUUUAAAUUUGGCAGAGAGAAACACCUGUGGUUCUCAGUGUGUUGUUAACAAGGCUGGUUUCUUCACUGCUGCUUCUUUUUGGUCAAAGCUACAACAAAGGAAAAGGGCAGGUGUUAAGAAGAAGGAAUGUGCUACAGAACAAAAAUUUUUGUGGAAAUGUGUACAGUCCUGGGGGAGAGCAAGUUCGUCAAGGAGCAUUCAGGCCUGUUGGGAGCUUUGCUGUCUGUGCCUCAGCAACUGCCCCGUGUCAGCAGCCAGCCUGCAAGGAAGGGGCCGCAUCAACCCUGGCCAAGUUGGAGCAGCCUCUGAAGUACUUCCAGCACUUCUGUAA